rnacentral:rRNA from 1 species
GAUGAACGCUGGCGGCGUGCCUAAUACAUGCAAGUCGAGCGAACAGACGAGGAGCUUGCUCCUCUGACGUUAGCGGCGGACGGGUGAGUAACACGUGGAUAACCUACCUAUAAGACUGGGAUAACUUCGGGAAACCGGAGCUAAUACCGGAUCAUAUAUUGAACCGCAUGGUUCAAUAGUGAAAGACGGUUUUGCUGUCACUUAUAGAUGGAUCCGCGCCGCCUUAGCUAGUUGGUAAGGUAACGGCUUACCAAGGCAACGAUGCGUAGCCGACCUGAGAGGGUGAUCGGCCACACUGGAACUGAGACACGGUCCAGACUCCUACGGGAGGCAGCAGUAGGGAAUCUUCCGCAAUGGGCGAAAGCCUGACGGAGCAACGCCGCGUGAGUGAUGAAGGUCUUCGGAUCGUAAAACUCUGUUAUUAGGGAAGAACAAAUGUGUAAGUAACUAUGCACGUCUUGACGGUACCUAAUCAGAAAGCCACGGCUAACUACGUG